UCCAAGGGUUCCUGCUCAACGCUAAUCGGAGCAGGGUUAGUCGGCCCCUAAGGCGAGGCCGAAAGGCGUAGUCGAUGGAAAUCAGGCUAAUAUUCCUGAACUUUUUACAACUGCGAUGGGGUGACGGAGAAGGUUAGGUCAGCCGGGUGUUGGAAGUCCCGGUUCAAGCGUGUAGGCAGAUCUCUUAGGCAAAUCCGGGAGGUUAAUGCUGAGACGUGAUGUCGAGGCCCCAUGUGGGCCGAAGUGAUUGAUACCAAGCUUCCAGGAAAAGCCUCUAAGCUUCAGGUUGUAGAAAUUCGUACCCUAAACCAACACAGGUGGGCGAGGAGAGUAUCCUAAGGCGCAUGAGACAACUCGGGUGAAGGAACUCGGCAAAAUAGUACCGUAACUUCGGGAUAAGGUACGCCUCUAGUAUGUGAUGGACUUCGCGUCCUGAGCAGAUGGAGGCCGCAGUGAAGAGGGGGUGGCGACUGUUUAUCAAAAACACAGCA
rnacentral:rRNA from 1 species